rnacentral:lncRNA from 1 species
CUGAGCCUGAAAUAUGUCCAAAAUGUAAAAAAGGAAAACACUGGGCUAAUCACUCUAAGUUUGAUAAAGAUGGGAACCUGAUUUCAGGAAAAGCCAUGAGGGGCCCAUCCUGGGCCCCAUUCCAAACUGGGGCAUUUCCAGCUCGGGUCAUUCCCUCACCCCUGUACAAUGCCUGUCCCCCACCACAGCUGGUAGAGCCACACUAGAUUUAUGCUGCAGUAGAUUUAUGCUGAGUCUUCUGCCUGGGGAACCCCUGCAAAAGGUCCCAACAGGAGUCUGUGGUCCCUUGCCAGCAGGGACAAUAGGAUUAGUUCUAGGCAGUUCUAGUUUAAAUUUAAAAGGGGUACAAAUACAUACAAGAGUCAUUGAUUCAGAUUACAAUGGGGAAAUUCAAAUUGUUAUAUCUACUUCUGUUCCCUGGAAAGCAGAGCCAGGAGAGUGCAUAGCACAGCUCCUGAUUGUGUCAUAUGUGGGAAUGGGAAAAAGUGAAAUUAAAUGAACAGGAGGAUUUGGAAGCACAAAUAAACAAGGCAAAGCAGCUUAUUGGGUAAAUCAAAUUACUGAUACACAUCCUACCUGUGAAAUAACUAUUCAGGGAAAUAAAUUUAAAGGUUUGGUAGAUACAGGAGUGGACAUUUUCUCUACAGCACUGGCCGUCUGCAUGGCCAAUUCAACCCACUCAAUUCAACUCCAAUAGUUGGAGUUGGUAAAGUCCCUGAAGUAUAUCAAAGUAGCUAUAUUUUGCAUUGUGAAGGGCCUGAUGGACAACCUGGGACUAUUCAACCAAUUAUAACUUCUGUACCCAUAAAUUUCUGAGGAAGGGAUUUAUUACAACAAUGGGGAGUACAAGUUCUAAUUCCAGAACAAUUAUAUAGCCCUCAAAGUCAACAUAUGAUGCAUAUAAUGGGGUAUGUUCCUGGUAUUGGACUAGGAAAAAAUUUGCGAGUUUUGAAAGAACCACUGCAAGUGGAAAGACAAAAUUCCUGCCAAGGCUUAGGAUAUCAUUUUUGAUGGCAGCCAUUGUUAAGCCUCCAGAACCUAUACCUUUAAAAUGGUUAACAGAUAAGCCAAUUUGGAUAGAACAAUGGCUGCUAAGUAAAGAGAAACUGGAGGCUUUAGAGAAAUUAGUUCAAUUAGAAAAUGGGCACAUAGCCCCAACAUUUUCUGCUUGGGAUUCUCCAGUUUUCAUAAUUAAGAAAAAUUCAGGUAAAUAGAAAAUGUUAACUGACUUAAGAGCCAUCAAUUCAGUUAUACAACCUAUGGGAGCAUUACAGCCAGGAUUGCCUUCUCCUGCUAUAAUUCCAAAAAAUUGGCCUUUAAUAGUCAUAGAUUUGAAAGACUGUUUCUUUACUAUCCCUUUGGCUGAGCAAGACUGUGAAUGGUUUGCAUUUACAAUUCUUGCAGUAAACAACCUGCAGCCUGCUAAGCAUUUUCAUUGUUUUACAGAUGGGUCUAGUAAUGGUAAAACUUCUUAUUCUGGCUCAAAAAGUAAAGUUUUCCAGAUGCCCUAUACUUCAGCUCAAAAAGUGGAGCUUGUAGCUGUAAUUGAGGUAUUGACUGCUUUUGAUAUGCCUGUUAAUGUGAUUUCUGAUUCUUCAUAUAUGGUUCUUUCCACACAGUUAAUUGAAAAUGCUCAGUUACGAUUUCAUACAGAUGAACAACUGAAGACAAAAACAACAAAGGGGGAGAAAGAGGGAUUAUGGGACAGCCCAUAUACAAUUGAAUCUAGCAUUAUUAACUUUAAAUUUUUUGAGUCUGCCUAAAGGCCAGAUGUUAUCAGCAGCUGAACAGCAUUUACAGAAACCGGCUGCAAAGACAGAAGCAGAACAACUGGUUUGGUGGAGAGAUCCGAUAACAAAAAGUUGGGAAAUAGGUAAAAUAAUAACUUGGGGUAGAGGUUAUGUUUGUGUUUCUCCAGGCCAAAAUCAAUAACCAAUUUGGAUACCAUCAAGACACCUGAAACCUUAUCAUGAGCCAGAUGCUGAGGAAGAGAUUCCAGGAGGAUCCUGAGGACCCCCUGGUUGCAGCCACGUCGAGGCUGACACUGAGGAGGACCCCAACUGUCAUGAGCAACACCCGUCGAACACAGCCAUCCACCUGGGGACAAAUCAAGAAGCUGUCACAGAUGAUGGAAGAAAACCUGAGGAAAGCGGGACAACCAAUCACAAUGAGUAAUUUGGUGAUCUAUCACAGUGAUGAUCACCAUUGCCAUGAGUAUUCCUUCAACAAGGGCUGACACAGAGAACAAUUAUACUUAUUGGGCAUAUUUAUCAAUCUUGUCUGGCAAUAAUGCCUAGAUGAUUUCACUCUAUGGCACAGUUACACAUGCUUUCUGAUCUCAGUAUUUACCAUAAUAAAUCUGCUCCUAUAAUUGAGGCAUACCACCCUCAAAAACCUAUUUGUAAACAAAAUAGAACCUGGCCAGAAAUAAUGAACAACUUGUUUAGUAAGAUUGCAUUGCAGAACAGGCAGAGAUGCUACGCAAUGAUUCCUAUGGGAUCAUUGAUUGGUCCCCUAAGGGGAUGUUUAGCUUAAAUUGCACCUCUCAGUCUGCAUGCCAUGGCCACACUAGUUCAGAUGGUCUGAACAAAGUGGUCAGAUGGCAGAAAUGAUAAGAAGUAUGGCAAAAGUUCCUAUUGUCUGGAACCAUGGCAGUAUAGUGUCACCUCAACCUCAAAUGAUAUGGCUCAUUGUAGGAGCUAAACAUAAGGAUUUGUGGAAACUAUUAAUAGCUCUUAAUAAGAUCAAAAUUUGGGAAAGAAUAAAAAAAGCAUCUAGAAAGACACUCUACAAACUUGUCUUUGGAUAUUACAAAAUUAAAAGAACAAAUAUUUAAAGCAUCCCAGGUACACCUGACCUUAAUGACAGAAACUGGAGUGCUUGAAGGAGCUGCAGACAGAUUAGCAGCUAGUAACCCAUUAAAAUGGAUAAAAACACUUGGAAGCUCUGUGAUUUCAAUGAUGAUUGUGCUUUUAAUCGGUAUUGUUUGUCUUUGUAUAGUGUGCAGAUGUGGAUCCUGACUCCUGUGAGAAGUAGCUCACAGUGUCAAAGCUGCCUUUGCUUUUAUCGAUUUGCAAAUCAAAUAAGGGGGACAUAUUGGGAACAGCACCCCCCCCCCCAAAAUCUGGCCAUAAACUGGUCCCAAAACUGGCCAUAAACAAAAUCUCUGCAGCACUGACAUGUUCAUGAUGGUCUUAAUGCCCACGCUGGAAGGUUGUGGGUUUACCAGAAUGAGAGCAAGGAACACCUGGCCCACCCAGGGUGGAAAACCACUUAAAGGCAUUCUUAAACCACAAACAAUAGCAUGAGUGAUCUGUGCCUUAAGGCUGUGCUACUGCUGCAGAUAACUAGCCCAACCCAUCCCUUUAUUUCAGCCCAUCCCUUCGUUUCCCAUAAGGGAUACUUUUAAUUAAUCUAAUAUGUAUAGAAAGAAUGCUAAUGACUGGCUUGCUGUUAAUAAAUAACGUGGGUAAAUCUCUGUUGGAGGCUCUCAGCUCUGAAGGCUGUGAGACCCCGGAUUUCCCACUUCACACCUCUGUAUUUCUGUGUGUCUGUCUUUAAUUCCUUUAGCACCACUGGGUUAGGGUCUCCCCGACCGAGCUGGUCUUUGCACUUCUCACUUCUGGAUAUAGGCCUCCCUAGAGGGUUUUUUUUUUCUUUUUUGAUAGGAUCUUGCUCUUUCAUCCAGGCUGGUGUGCUGUAGUGUAUUCAUGGCUUGCUGCAGUCUUGAUCUCCCAGACUCAAGUAAUCCUCCCAUCUCAGCCUCCUGAAUAGCUAGGACCACAGGCCUGUGCCACCAUGUCUGGCUACUUUAAUUUUUUUUCCCUUAGAGACAGAGUCUCACUAUGUUGCCCAGGCUGGUCUCACAUUCCUGCACUCGUCAUCUUCC